UUGACACAGGGAGGUAGUGUACAAGAAAUAACAAUACGGGGCUUAAAGUCUUGUAAUUGGAAUGAUGGGAAUUUAAACCUCUUCCAGAGUAUCAAUUGGAGGGCAAGUCUGGUGCCAGCAGCCGCGGUAAUUCCAGCUCCAAUAGCGUAUAUUAAAAUUGUUGCAGUUAAAAAGCUCGUAGUUGAAUUUCUGCUGCAUUGCUUGUGUCCCUCUGGGGUCUGUGCAUGUGGCUUUUUUCGGACGGAGUUUCUUUGUCUGAAUGUUUACUUUGAGAAAAUUAGAGUGCUCAAAGCAGGCUUUCGCCUUGAAUAGUUUAGCAUGGAAUAAUAAAGUAGGACUUUGGUUCUAUUUUGUUGGUUUUAGGUACCAAAGUAAUGGUUAAUAGGAACAGUUGGGGGCAUUCGUAUUUAACUGUCAGAGGUGAAAUUCUUAGA
rnacentral:rRNA from 1 species